UCGGAUUGUAGUCUGCAACUCGACUACAUGAAGCCGGAAUCGCUAGUAAUCGCGGAUCAGAAUGCCGCGGUGAAUACGUUCCCGGGUCUUGUACACACCGCCCGUCACACCAUGGGAGCCGGAAAUGCCCGAAGUCAGUGACCCAACCGCGAGGAGGGAGCUGCCGAAGGCAGGUCUGGUAACUGGGGUGAAGUCGUAACAAGGUAGC
rnacentral:rRNA from 1 species